rnacentral:rRNA from 1 species
UACGAAGGGGGCUAGCGUUGCUCGGAAUUACUGGGCGUAAAGGGAGCGUAGGCGGAUAGUUUAGUCAGGGGUGAAAUCCUGGAGCUCAACUCCAGAACUGCCUUUGAUACUGAAGAUCUUGAGUUCGGGAGAGGUGAGUGGAACUGCGAGUGUAGAGGUGAAAUUCGUAGAUAUUCGCAAGAACACCAGUGGCGAAGGCGGCUCACUGGCCCGAUACUGACGCUGAGGCACGAAAGCGUGGGGAGCAAACAGGG